rnacentral:tRNA from 9 species
CGGAAGUAGUUCAGUGGUAGAAUACAACCUUGCCAAGGUUGGGGUCGCGGGUUCGAAUCCCGUCUUCCG